AUUCAAAAUUUGUAUAUGUAUUCUGUUUAUUUUUUUCCAUAUAUUUUGAUGAAAUAAUCGAUUUUUUGUUCCUGAUAGAUCUAAAAUUGGUCACACAAUGAAUGAAUCAUCUUCAUCUUUGAGGAUUACCAGAGGGUCAUUGGGAAAAUCAAAUCAAGUUAUACAAGAACAAACAAUGGAAGAGCUUAGAUCAAAG